CAUUGGUUCUUCAUCUCUUCUUCAGCAAUUGAUUUCAGGAUCUUCUUCCUCAUCUUUGGCUCUUCAUCUACCUCCUCCUCUUCAUCUCUUGGAAGAGCUGAAACUCAAGUUGGAAAUGGAUGCCGUCUUGUUACUCGAGUAAUCAAUGAUGUGGACUUUGAAGAGGUCAAUGAUCAAGUGUGCAAGACUGUGAAUGAACGUGUAUGCAAUACUCAAUUCGUCGAUGACUGUCAAAACUAUCAGGAUCAAGUCUGUGAGACUGUUCAAAAGAGAGAGUGCAACAACAAGCAAGAAAGGCAAUGUGAGGACUCCUUCAGAACUGUAAGUGAGUCCUACACUGAGAUGAAUGUAGAGAUGAAUCCGUGAGGGAAUGUGAAAAGGCUUGGCAAGUGAAUGGAGCUGGUGAAAAGAUUUGGGCUGAUGAUCCUUCUACAUGUAUUCAAGUAAAGAAAACCAAAUGCUCUCCUGUUUCCAAGCAAAGAUCACGUCAAGUCCCGGAUCAAAAAAUGUCAGACUGUGAACGUUCCUGUGUCGAAAUGUUCCUCAGCAAGAGUGCAGAUCUGUGACAAAGCAAAGAUGUGAGAAAAAGCCUGUAGAAGAGUGCAAUAACGUGCCCAGGCAAAAUUGUCAAAACAUUCACAAACAAGUUCCAAAGCAGGUGACACGCCAGGUCCAAGUAAGGGAAUGUAACGGAGGAUCUGGUCAAAUUGGAAAUGGACGUAACCCCAUUGGGGCAACAAUAGUCGUAAUACUCUUGGAGGAAGCGGCAGCAGUGGCAGCUUUGUUCAAGGAGGCCGAGGAGGUAACCUUAAAGGAAAUAGCUCUGAGGCUCAAGAAACUCUGGAUCUCGAAGAAACAGCAAUAAUAACUCUGGAAGCAAUUUCCAAAAGACAACUGGAUAUUGAGAAAUCCUUUUCUGUGAUAGAAAUUAACUUGUUAUUUACAAACAUAUUAUUUAUGUUAUUACGCUUACUUCUUCUCAUAGAAUACCAAAAUAUAUUUCUAGUUUUUUAAUUUAA
rnacentral:lncRNA from 1 species